rnacentral:rRNA from 1 species
CCUACGGGAGGCAGCAGUGAGGAAUAUUGGUCAAUGGGCGCGAGUCUGAACCAGCCAAGUAGCGUGCAGGAUGACUGCCCUACGGGUUGUAAACUUCUUUUAUACAGGAAUAAAGUGAGGCACGUGUGCCUUUUUGUAGGUACUGUAUGAAUAAGGACCGGCUAACUCCGUGCCAGCAGCCGCGGUAAUCCGGAGGAUCCGAGCGUUAUCCGGAUUUAUUGGGUUUAAAGGGAGCGCAGGUGGGUUGUUAAGUGGGUUGUGAAAGUUUGCGGCUCAACCGUAAAAUUGCAAUUGAUACUGGCAGGCUUGAGUACAGUUGAGGUAGGCGGAAUUCGUGGUGUAGCGGUGAAAUGCUUAGAUAGCACGAAGAACUCCGAUUGCGAAGGCAGCUUACUAAACUGCCACUGACAUUGAUGCUCGAAAGUGUGGGUAUCAAACAGGAUUAGAUACCCGAGUAGUC